AAAGGCAACCUACACUCAGAAGUCUUGCGAACAAUAAUUCUGGAACCAGAUGCAUCGGGUACAUUAUUGUCUAACAACACCAUUGAUUGAAGCGAGUAAUGCUGUGCUACACGGUGCGCAGCCAACCGUAAAUAUGAAGUGGGCAACUGCUGAAAUUCUAAUUGCUGCUGUGUAGGAUCAUGGAUAAACUUUUCAACAUCUUGCUCCAUCCUCAGAAUGGAGAGCCGCUCACGAGGGUUCUGCAAGGCUUCACGGAGGAACUGAUCGACCUGAUCAAUUAUAUCGUCCGACACUUUCUCACCAUUUCCGGUACUGGAAUAUAUCGACCCAUAACCCGACACCGACCCCGAAUGAACAGAAACAUCGGGGAAGAGCUCUUGAGGGGGUUGUUCAGAGUCUUUCUUCGAAUCCUUGAGCAUAAAACGGCUCAUCGUUUCCUCCAAAUCGGCCACCUCCCAGGACACGGGGGUUCCGAGAUCCUCCACCACAGAGCCCUCCAUAGAUUUCUAAGCUGAGACAGACACGGAGAAAGAGAAUUACUAGAGUUUAGGAGAGUAUGAUAAUUUGAUAAUAGCCAUCAAACUAAGCUUCGAUUUAUUUGGAUCGACGAUUUGAUUGGGAAUCCAGGGCUUGCGCGAUGCUGGAAUUUCAUGUGAGAAAUUUUGUAGUCUUUCAGAGUAAAUUUUGGGGCUAGGGUUUGGAAUUUGGUGUUAGAGAGAAAGGGGGACUCUCUAGAGAGAGAGUG
rnacentral:misc_RNA from 1 species